ensembl:lncRNA
GUAAACUGAGAUGUACUUGUAAGUGAGUUUGCUGUAACCACGGUUGUAGAUUGAGGUGUAUUUUUUGUAGGUAAGGAUGUUGUUGUUGUCUGCAUUGUGGUGCUUUGUUCAGGUGUUGUUGAUUGUUCAGUUGUAGAUGUUAAAACAGUUGUAGUUGUUGGUUCAGUUGUAGAUCUUAAAACAGUUGUUGUUGUUGGUUCAGUUGUAGAUUUUAAAACAGUUGUGGUUGUUGGUUUACCCGUAGAUGUAAGUUGUGUUGUUUCUGUAGGAGGGGCUCUAGUUGUAAGCAGAGUUGCAGUUGUAGAUAUUAAAACAGUUGUGGUUAUUGGUUCAGUUGUAGAUGUUAAAAAAGUUGUGGUUGUUGGUUCAGCCGUAGAUGUAAGUUGUGUUUCUGUUGUUUCUGUUGAAGGGGCUGUAGUUGUAACCUGAGAUGUAGGUAUAGCUGAGUUUGUUGUAACCAGGGUUGUAGAUUGAGCUGUAUUUGUUGUAGGUAGAGUAGUUGUUGCUGUCUGCAUUGUGGUGCUUUGUUCAGAUGUAGUUGAUUGUUCAGUUGUAGACGUUGACGGAGUUGUGGUUGUUGGUUGAGUUGUAGAUGUUAAAACAGUUGUGGUUGUUGGUUCAACCGCAGAUGUAAAUUGUGUUGUUGUUGUUUCUAUAGGAGGGGCUGUAGUUGUAAGCAGAGAUGCAGUUGUAGGUGAGUUUGUUGUUACCUCAGUUGUAGAUUGAGCUGUACUUGUAGGUAGGGAUGUUUUUACUGUCUGCAUUGUGGUGCUUUUUUCAGAUGUAGUUGAUUGUUCAGUUGUAGAUGAUGAAGCAGUUGUGGUUAUUAGUUCAUUUGUAGAUGAUGAAGCAGUUGUGGUUGUUGGUUCAGCUGUAGAUGUAAGUUGUGUUGUUUCUGUAGGAGGGGCUAUAGUUGUAACCCGAGGUGUAGUUGUAGGUGAGUUUGUUGUAACCAGGGUUGUAGAUUGAGCUGUACUUGUUGUAGGUAGGGAUGAUGUUGUUGUCUGCAUUGGGGUGCUUUGUUCAGAUGUAGUUGACUGUUCAGUUUUAGAUGUUGAAGCAGUUGUGGUUUUUGGUUCAGCAGUAGAUGUAAGUUGCAUUGUCUCUGCUGGAGGGCCUGGAGUUGUAAGAAGAGUUGCAGUUGUAGGUGAGUUUGUUGUAACCUCAGUUGUCGAUUGUGCUGAACUUGUGGUAGGUGGUGGUGAUGUUGUUGCUGUCUCUGUUGUUGUGCUUUGUUCAGAUGUAGUUGACUGUUCAGUUUUAGAUGUUGAAGCAGUUGUGGUUGUUGG